UUCAACUGUACAGGCAGAGAAAAGGAGAGAGAGAGGCGAAGAGGAAGAGAACUUGGCUGUGGGCGGUGACCACUUUUCCCAACUCCAACAACAGCAUGGCCACCAAGCCCAUACUAAAGGCGGCACACCCUAGUUCUGCUACUGUGACUCUGCAGCUGAUACCGACGCAAAACAGACUACGUGCUGAAAACAAGACGGAGGAAAUGGAGUGUGAAACGUAACCACAGAAAGCAGACAGGAGGCACAUCAUCGAUGAUGACAAGAGAGGCCGUUCCGCUGGCAGCCAUACAGGCCCAAGCCAUAACACCCCCUCCACCGUGUGUCAGGAAUGAGGUGGUAUGCUUUGGAUCAUGGGCAUUUCCUUUUUGCCUAAAAACCUUCCUCUUUACAUCACUCUGGUAAUCUUUGUCCAAUCUGUCCACAAGACUUUGUUCCAGAACUCUUGAACUCUUUUUUUUGGCAAAAUGUAAUCUGGCCUUUCUGUUCUUCGGGCUUAUCAGUGGUUUGAAUCUUGUAGUGUACCCUCUGUAGUCCUGCUGGUGUAGUGUUCUACAUAUGGUAGACUUUGAAACAUCUACACCUGCAUCCAGGAGUGUUUUUGAUCUGUUGGGCCGUUGUUAAUAUGCAAGCAGUCUAAGAAUUCAUUUGGUCCAUGCUCGGGGCAACAUUAGUUCAGGAGCUGUCAUCUGUCAGUCGGAAGGUUGCCAACUGAGAUCUCCCUGCGUGUGUGUGUGUGUGUGUGUGUGUGCGUGUGAAUGAGAGCCAUCAAUUGCAAAUCGCUUUGGAUAAAAGCACUAUAUAAAUGCAGUCCAUGUACUACAAACUUUUAUCAGCAUUCUGCUCGGGCUUGGAAGUUGGAAUUAGAAAUAAACAUUGUCUGGUGACACAUUUCACCUCCUCUCUCUUCCUGUCAGCAGCUGUGAGAGCAGCAUGUGUGGGUGAACAAAGCAGUUACUAAAGCCAUCCAUGAAUUAAUCAUGACCAUAUAUGACUUGCUAAACAAAAAACAUGAUGCUUUUCAUCGGGAAGCUGUGCUGACAGAGACUGUGAAACUUCUUAUUGCCAAAGAUGGGCGACCUCGCUUCUGUUUUUUUACUUUCCAAAGAUACUCUGGUUAGCAAUUGAUGUCACAAAGAUAACCUCACUUUUCUUGCAGAUGA